UUGUGAUUGAACUGUGAGUAAAAUUAAUGUUUGUACUGAAAUAUAGGAAGGCAUAUGACAGAAACACAGAUGGAAUAUAAAAUGAACCAUGUAAAAUAAUGGGUACCGCAUUAUUUAAAUAGUGGAGAUGUUCGGUUGCAAUAAACGGGAAUGUGAGUGAAUUAUCGCAUUGCGUUUUAUUUAUGGGUAUGACUGAACACUCGGCUACACUAAACACAGCCAACACAUGUGCGAGCUAUUCACACUCUUGGGGACUCGUGGGCUAGCGAAAAGGAACGGGAGAUCCUUUUCACAGGCGCAUACUACAGUGUUACGCUGCUAUGCUAAACCAGGCUCGUAAAUCCUAAAUAUCUACAGCUAGCAAGCCCGUAACCUAGUGCAUUAGAUGUGAAAAAUGUUACCUGGACUUUCCUGGGUGAAUGUAACCUUUCCUAUCUGGGGAGUGUGUCUGUGGUUGACUCACCGCCAGGCCACCGUUCUUGCUUCCGGCGACCAGCUCACUCGGACCGGGCGACUCCUCUAGACAUCCCUCGGGUGCAGUUCCGUUGGUCCAUUCGGCCAGCCCGCUCUUCGAUGUGGAUGUCCAGUUUAAAUCCAACUUUGACACAACCUCAGCUCUCCCGAUCCUGUCUAUGCAAUCUUCCAGUCUGGGAAUUGGGAAUGCAUCAGCCUUAGUCACCUGAUUCACUUUCCUGUAGUCAAUACAAGGUCUUGAUGUGUUGUCCGGUUUUGGGAAAAGCACCAUUGGAGAACUCCACUCACUUUGCCCAUGUUCUACUGCCCCAAUAUCCACACCUCCUCCCUCAAACUCUGCAAUUUAGAGGGUGCUAGCCUAUAUGGGUGUUGUUUGAUUGGAGUCGAACUGCCUACAUCCACAUCAUGGACAGCUAGAGCGGUUCGCCCUGGGACAUCCCGGAAAAGGGGGAAGAACUCCACUAUCAGAGCCUUAAACUCAGACUGCCACUCUGUCUGUAAAUGCCCCAGCUGAUCAAGCGACUCCAGGGCCUCAGUGUACCUCAGGCGGAACUCCAACAGUUUCCACUUCUCCAUUAACAUCCUCUUCAGAUAUCUGCCCCAUAGCUGCACAGGCAACAGACGGCCCACGUGAACAACCCUGAUAUUGCUUUAACAGAUUAACAUGGCACAAUCUGGUCUUUCUCCUGCCCUCAGGAGUGCUGAUCACAUAAUUUUUGUCCCCUACUUUUUUUCAGAACUUUGUAGGGACCACAAAAAGAGGCACUCAGACAAGAUGCCCACUGUGGCACUAAGGCCACACCUGGUCCCCAGCUGAAAAACUGCGAUCAACGGCCUUCUGAUCAAACUGAGCCUUCAUACGUUUCUGGGCUUGGUGAAGAUUAUCCCUGGCAACCUGACAAGCAGACCACAAACGAUCUUUAAACUCAGAAACAUACUGCAGCAUAGUUGCACCUGGCUUGUUUUGAAGCAACUGUUCCUUGAACAGCUUCAGGGGACCCCUAACCUCAUGGCCGAAUACCAGUUCAAAGGGGGUGAAUCCCGUAUAUUCACUCACAGAAUCUCUCAUAGCAAAAAGCAGAAAUGGGAGUGCCACAUCCCAGUCUCCAGGAAACUGAAUGCUGUAGGUCUUUAACAUAGUUUUUAGAGUCUGAUGAGCCCAUUCAAGAGCUCCUUGGGACUGGGGAUGAUAUGCGGAUGGAACUGCUUGUGAAAUACCAAGCUCACACAUGACCUGAAAGACUCCAGACACAAAAUUGGUUCCAUGGUCAUGCUGCCCUUGCUUUGGAAACCCAAACCGAGAAAAGAAACCUACUAGCGCCUCUAUGAUGAUUCUAGCCUUAAUGUUUCUUAAAGGGACAGCCUCGGGGAAACAAGUAGUAACAUCUAUUAUAGUCAACAAAAACUCAUUACCUUUCCUAGUUUUAGGCAAAGGGCUAACACAGUCUAUGAUCACUUUAGAAAACGACUCUUCCACCACAGGCACAGGGGUCAGCGGAGCUACAGGGACUUUCUGAUUAGGUUUCCCUACCAACUGACAAGAGUGACAGGAGCGACAACAAGCUACCACAUCCAGAUGGAGUUUAGGCUAAUAAAAGUGUCUCAUGACCUUAACCUGAGUCUUCCUAAUGCCUAAGUGUCCAGCUAUCUGUCUCAUGGGCCAAACGUAACACCUCUUCACGAUAACACUGAGGCAGAACUAUCUGCUCAUUCACACUCCACUCAUCAGUGGCAGGUUGAUCUUUGGGUCUCCACUUUCUCAUAAGCACAUCAUCUUUGAGGUAAAAUCCCUCAGCCAUGUUUGCAAUCUCCUCAUAAGUAGCCGCGAUCUCCCUCAGAGGGCUCAGAGUGGGGUCCCGUUUCUGCUCUGCAAUCAAUGUGUCUCCACUGAACACUGGCAGCUGAUCCACCCCACACCAUUUGGCAAAACCUGUGUCUGCCAAGUCAACUGGGUGAGGGUCCUCUGAUCUAGACACCUCUACAACAGGUGCUUUUGCUACCGCAUCAUCCUCAACAUUCACAGUGAGAUCUGUAAGGGCCUUAGUCUGAGAACGGACUGAGAAGGCUUCUGGAUAUUCCUCCUCCAAGACCUUAGUCUCUGCAACCUCACAAGGAGUUGGAGACAAUAGGGGGGUCACCACUACCUGUUUAUGAGCCAAGUCAUUGCCUAAAAGGAAGAUAACACCCUUCACCGGUAAUUCAGACACCACUCCCACCUGAGCAUAUCCAACAAAAAUGUUAGUUCUUACAAACACCUUGUAUAAGGGAACAGCACUCUAAGCACCUCCAAAACCUUCAAUAGGCAUAAAUGUCCCCAAGGCAGCCGUUUCAGGCAGGUCAAUAGUACCAGCUACCAUGACAGAUUGACCUGAUGCUGUGUCUCUGAGAACUGUAACAGGAAUUUCAGCUACCCCUUCCUCAACUGCAACCAUCCCAUCAGACAGGAAAGCAUCAAACAUUUCCAAGCCUGCUUUACCAACAGUUUCCACAUGUCCUUGAACUGGGUUCAAACCAAUGAGAUUACAAGCAACAGAGCGACCGGCUUCUGCUCUUGAUGUCUCUCUUCUCUGUAGGGUUGGACAAUGAGAUUUAAUGUGACCAGGUCUACAGCGAUAAAGACAGAUGAUGUCUCCUGGGAAAGGAGAAGGCUUGUGCUGUCGCUCACCAUUCUGGGAGUUCACAGUUCCCACCAAUAUCCAACAACUUCGUACAACUAUUGAAGAGCAGUGGGACAAUAUUUCACAGGCUACAAAAAACAAUUUGAUCAAUGCAAUGCGAAGGAGAUGUGUUGCGUUGCAUGAGGCAAAUGGUGGUCACAUACGAUACUGAUCGGUAUUCUGUUCAUUUCACGGUAUCUUCUUUUUUGGGGAAUCUACGACUAACAAAUGCAUGUCUGUAUCCCCAAUCUCAUGAAAUCCAUGGAUAAAUGCUUAAUGAAUCUAUUUCAGAUGACUGAUUUAUGUUUAUUACCUUUGAACUCAAUAAAAUCUUUGAAAUUGA